UACGUAGGGUGCAAGCGUUAAUCGGAAUUACUGGGCGUAAAGCGUGCGCAGGCGGUGAUGUAAGACAGGUGUGAAAUCCCCCGGCUUAACCUGGGAACUGCGUCUGAUACUGGGAGGCUUGAGUAUGGGAGAGGGAUGUAGAAUUCCAGGUGUAGCGGUGAAAUGCGUAGAUAUCUGGAGGAAUACCGGUGGCGAAGGCGGCAUCCUGGACCAUUACUGACGCUGAGGCGCGAAAGCUAGGGGAGCAAACGGG
rnacentral:rRNA from 1 species